GAUUUCAGCCAGGCAGCUAGCAAAGCUCGCGGGUGAACUGCACAGGCCAUGGUGGGUGCAGAGCUCAGAGCCGGAAAGCAAACAGCUGCUGUAGCCUGAUUUGAGUUAAAAUAGUGUGAGUGUUUAGUCUGGCGCACGGCUUCAGGGGAGAUUGGCAGCUGGGUCAAACAAAGUCCUUCCAUUGGCUCCCUUCCCAGGCAGCUUCUGCUAGUGUUUAGGUACUAGUGCAGUGUAGAACCCUUUUCUCAGGCAAAACCUAACAUCUGACCGCACCCUUUUUGCUAUUAAAAAAAAAAAAAAGCUUCUAUUUUUUUCCUCCUGUCGUUAAGAUAAAUUCUCCAGUAGACAACCUCUCCCACUAAUUGUGUAUUAGCAACGUAUUUUAUCUUGAGAGCUUGUACACUGGGCUCUCAACGUGGUGUGGAAGGUAGCCUGUUACAGUGCUGGAUUCAUAAAAGGGCCUUUAUGGUUUGUGAAAGAAUAUCUGUGUGCUUAGGGAGGAAACUUUUUGAUCUGCAGAAAAGCCAGAAGACAUCUAGGACAUCCAUAAAAAUUCAUCAGAGAGCAUUUUACUACUGAGCUGCAAAGGGAAAAACUUAAAAUGGAUAUGAAAAGUGAAGAAAGUGAUCAUAGGAGAAAACCAUUUCAGAUGACAAGAGCACCUCAAAGGCAGCAGCCUCAAGGAGCAGCCAUGGCCCCAGACUUGUCGCACGGAUGCAGAAAACUUAAUGGAGGAGGCUGAGGUCAGAAUGGGAAGAGUUUUUAAAAAAUAAAAAGGGGAGCUAAUAUGUGAGGAACUGAUUGCUGUGCAUUAUUUUCCACUGAACAGACCUUCUUUUAACUUCUAAUCUCAAGCACAUAGCAGCUGUUGUUUUCAUAUUAAAGAUCAGUAAGUGUUUGUUGAAUGAAUGUAUAAAUUCUUCCCCAAUCUCUGUUCCAUGUAAUAAGAACUAAGUUAGCAUUCAAUUAUAAAGAGGACUUAGAAAGUCUGCAGACAUUUUUGAUCAAAAAUCCUUUUAACUGUCUUCUUAUGGUUCCCGGUAACACCUAAGCCCAAAAAACUCAGGUCAUUUCUUGCCUGUACUGUUGCAAUAGCCUCAUAAUAACUAGUCUUCUCCUUUAUCAACCACAGUCGUCUCCGCUACACAAAGAAGAGAGGGUGCUAAUCUAAAGUGUAAAUUAUUUUAAAUCAGCACCCUUCUUGUAAUUUCCCAGUGGUUUUUCCUGUCAUAAGAAUAACAUGCAAAAUUCCUUGCUUGCAAAGCCAGGUAUGACCUUGCCCCGUCUACCUUACUGGCAUCGUCUCUCAUGACUCUUCCCCUUUUUCACUCUCCAUCUUGCCUUUUCCCAACCAUGCCUGCUAGUGAGCCUUAGCCCUUGUGUUUUCUCUGCCAGGGAUGCAUGACUGGCUUCUUUACUUUAUUCUGAUCUCUCUGCUCAAAUGUCAUCUUUUUAGAGAUAGCUUUCCUAAACAUCUUUAAAAGUACCCCAUGAACUGUGAAACACCUUUCCUGCUUUUUCUUCAUAGUACUUAUCACUUCCUGAUAUUAUGUUAGACAACAAGCAAAUAAGUAUAUGCUGUUCCCACUAAAAUAUAAGCUCCAUUUGAACAGGAGCCUUGAUUAUUCCUGAGUAUACCCCUAGUGCCCAGAACCUAGUAGGGCUUUAAUAAAUAUUAGAUUCAUUUGUUGAAUGAAAAAAUGAAUGAAUAAUUGAAUAAAGAUAUCCAGGUAGAGUGUCCGGGCAGCCCAACCUAUGUGAAGCCAGUACAAGAAUGUUUCUGUGACAUAGUGAGCGCAAUUAUUCCUCUAAAUGAUGAACUUGCAUGAGUACACAAGGAUAAAAUUAAGCACGUAGUUUAGAUUUCUGCAAGUCUCUUCCUCAGAUUGAGGAAAAACAAAGAAAUUGAGCUUAUUCUCACCUCAUUCUUACAUGAACUAAAUCCAGAAUAAAGCAUCAUUUAAAUACCAAGCACAUCCCUACCUCAGCCACUCAUGGAAUACUUUAUCUGUAAAGGGACAGAUAGAUAGUAAAUAUUUUUGGCUUUGGGGACCGUACAGUCUGUGUCGCCACUACUCAGCACUUCUGUUGAGGUGUGGAAUCAGCCCUAGACAACACAUAAACAAAUGGGUGUGGCUGUGUUCCAAUAAAAUGUUAUUUAUAAAACUAGGAAAUCAGCAGAUUUAGUCCACAGGCUGUAGUUUGCUGACCCUUGAAUUAGAGAGUCUUCCCCAAAUCCUCUUCCCAAGUUAUUGAAAGAAUGCCCAUAGGACCAUAGCUCCCUCACCUGGUUCUUUCAAGAAAUGAGACAAAUUCAGGGAUGGUUGGAGGGUGGAACGCCUACCUGUGACAUGACUAUUGAGCCUGAUUUCUUUCCUUUUAUCUCUUUAAAGUGAGUCAGGUCUUAACUUUAAACUGUCUCUAAAGUGGCAAUAACUGGGCCAUGUCAAAUACUCCCAAUGACAAAAUUUCUUCUUGGAGAAUGAAUGAGGGUUGCAUACAGUGGUGUGUUGGUAAAUGUUUAGCAACUGGCUCUCUUACUGAUUUCUGUAGUGUAAAUUCUCCCAUCCUGGCCAUCUGAAACUACCAAUAUGAUGUCACUUGAUGUAGAGUUGGGAAAAGACAGUCUCUUGAAUAAGUAUGAGCUGGUUCCAGCCCACUGCUGAACACAUAUUUAAAAGCUACAAUAGCUCUGCUCACUGCCAUUGCAGAGUCUGGAGGAAAGAGUAGCAGGCUUGAUAGGAGCAAUUGGCUGAAUAAUCUUUUGCAAUGCCAAUAAAUAAUGAAAAAGUAUAUAAAUAUAACGCUGUAUAGAAAGCUCUCAAGUUCAGUGUUUGGUUAAAAUACAUACUCAGUAAAUGGUAGCUAUUAUUGUCUUAGUUUAAGUUAUUGCAAGCAUUAAAAUUAAAUGUUUAGCUACAGACUCAAUCCAGUUUUAAUGUCAUUGUGUUAAUAAGGCCUCUUAACAUUGAAGCAACAAAGAUAAAGGAAUUUUUUUGUAGCUAUUCACGAUUCUGCCCAGCUCAAGGUAAAGAUAGCAACAAAAUACUCCAACCAGAAUAAAAGAAGUCUCCACUUGACUGCAGCUCUUCGCAACACUUCACAAGGGUCAAGCUGUGUUAGUUUCCUUCAGUGUUAAACAGAAUGCAUCUUAAGAGAAUAGUUCAAUUAUUGAUUGAAUAGUAGGUUCAAGUUGACUAUAAUCCCAACUAAUACACUCUAAGACCAGGGAUGGGCCGACAGAAGGGUAAAGUUUUCCACUCAAGUCUCGAGGCAAACACUCAGAUAGAAGUAGUAAUAUGGAUGCCUUCUAUUAUUUGGUCACAUACAAUACUGUUCCAGCCCAGUUGUGCAAAACUGGUGAAAUAAAAGGCAAAAAUAUUGACAACAGUUUGGGUAACUGGAUUCCAAAAUGGGCAUCCAUCUAAGAGAAAUUAAUGAAAAAAAAGCAUAUGGACCUUGAAAUACAUUAAUACACAGUUUAGGUUUAAACACUCAGUUUUUAUUAGAAAAGACUAACUUAUCCUGUUUUGAACACUACAAAAGUGCUUUCUGAACCAUUUACUCUCAAACCUCCUCCACCCAUUCCCCUCCAUCUAUAACGCUUUCUGCACAUCUGUAAAAGGUAUGACUUAGUGUUUGGUCUGUGAAAUAAGGUUAAAAAGGAAGCAUUUCUUUUUACAUUCUAGCUAAUGUUGAUAUUUUUCUCAUGCUUCUAUUAGCACAUAAUUCAGAUACAUUAGUUUUGAAGUUUUGAAUCUUCUCUGCUUCUUGAGGGCUCUCUGUUCUAGAUCAACAUGAUCUGUGGAACACCAGCCAAGUCCUGGGCAGAACCCUCCCCGUUGUCCAAAUAUUACUGAAUCAGUUGAGUUUUCUCUGUUGUCAAUGAAUUAUUCCACAUGUUUCUUUGGCUACAUUUUUUUUGGCUUUCUGUUCACAGUAAAUAUAGCCUUUGUUUUUAAAAACUUCUAUUAUGAAAAUUCCAAAUAUAUGCAAAUUAGAGAGAAUAGCAUAAUGAACCUCUAUGUGCUUAUCACACAUAUAGGUUCAACUAAUUAAAUUAUAUCAAUUUAUGGCCAAUCUGGUUUCAUUUAUAACAUCAUUCGCUCAUUCCUAACUCCCUGGAUUAUUUGAUUGACAUGUUUCUAAAGUUCCUUUUAAUCUGUAGGUUCCCCCUCUCAUUUAAUCUUUUGCAACUUAUUCAUUGAUGAAACUGGGUUAUUUGUCCUUUAUUGUUUCUCUCAUUCUGAAAUAUGCUGUAAUGUCAUUAACCAUAUUCUUCUUUCCUGUAUUUUCUGUAAGCUUUGAGCUAGGCAGAAAUAUUUUAAUCAGAUUCCUUUUUUUUUCUUUUAGCAAGAUUUCUUCAUAAAUAAUAUUGUAUGUGUUCAUGAAAAUAGAAAUAAAAAUAGAAAUAAAGAAGAAAUAACAGAAAA
rnacentral:lncRNA from 1 species